ACGAACGCUGGCGGCAUGGAUUAGGCAUGCAAGUCGAACGAAUGUAGCAAUACAUGAGUGGCGCAAGGGUGAGGAACACGUGAGUAAACUGCCCUUUAGUUGGGAAUAACCCCGCGAAAGCGGGGCUAAUACCGAAUGUGGCCAGCACCUCGCAUGAGGUGUUGGCUAAAGAUUUAUUGCUAAAGGAUGUGCUCGCGUCCCAUUAGCUAGUUGGUGAGGUAAUGGCCCACCAAGGCUAUGACGGGUAGGUGGUCUGAGAGGAUGGUCACCCACACUGGGACUGAGAACUGCCCAGACUCCUACGGGAGGCUGCAGUCGAGAAUCUUCCGCAAUGGGCGAAAGCCUGACGGAGCAAUGCCGCGUGCAGGAUGAAGGCCUUCGGGUCGUAAACUGCUGUCACCGGGGAUGAAUAAUGACAGUACCCGGGGAGGAAGUCACGGCUAACUACGU
rnacentral:rRNA from 1 species